AGAAUCUGCCUUAGGAGGGGGACAACAGUUGGAAACGACUGCUAAUACCCCAUAUGCCGAGAGGUGAAACAUUUUAUGGCCUGAGGAGGAGCUCGCGUCUGAUUAGCUAGUUGGUGGGGUAACGGCCUACCAAGGCGACGAUCAGUAGCUGGUCUGAGAGGAUGAUCAGCCACACUGGGACUGAGACACGGCCCAGACUCCUACGGGAGGCAGCAGUGGGGAAUUUUCCGCAAUGGGCGAAAGCCUGACGGAGCAAGACCGCGUGAGGGAGGAAGGUCUGUGGAUUGUAAACCUCUUUUCUCAGGGAAGAAGAACUGACGGUACCUGAGGAAUCAGCAUCGGCUAACUCCGUGCCAGCAGCCGCGGUAAUACGGAGGAUGCAAGCGUUAUCCGGAAUUAUUGGGCGUAAAGCGUCCGUAGGUGGCUAAGCAAGUCUGCUGUUAAAGAGCGGAGCUAAACUCCGUAAAGGCGGUGGAAACUGCAUAGCUAGAGUGUGGUAGGGGUAGAGGGAAUUCCCAGUGUAGCGGUGAAAUGCGUAGAUAUUGGGAAGAACACCGGUGGCGAAGGCGCUCUACUGGGCCACAACUGACACUGAUGGACGAAAGCUAGGGGAGCGAAUG
rnacentral:rRNA from 1 species